rnacentral:rRNA from 1 species
CUAGAGAUAGAGUCUUCCCCUUCGGGGGACAAAGUGACAGGUGGUGCAUGGUUGUCGUCAGCUCGUGUCGUGAGAUGUUGGGUUAAGUCCCGCAACGAGCGCAACCCUUAAGCUUAGUUGCCAGCAUUAAGUUGGGCACUCUAAGUUGACUGCCGGUGACAAACCGGAGGAAGGUGGGGAUGACGUCAAAUCAUCAUGCCCCUUAUGAUUUGGGCUACACACGUGCUACAAUGGACAAUACAAAGGGCAGCUAAACCGCGAGGUCAUGCAAAUCCCAUAAAGUUGUUCUCAGUUCGGAUUGUAGUCUGCAACUCGACUACAUGAAGCUGGAAUCGCUAGUAAUCGUAGAUCAGCAUGCUACGGUGAAUACGUUCCCGGGUCUUGUACACACCGCCCGUCACACCACGAGAGUCUGUAACACCCGAAGCCGGUGGAGUAACCAUUUAUGGAGCUAGCCGUCGAAGGUGGGACAAAUGAUUGGGGUGAAGUCGUAACAAGGUAGCCGUAUCGGAAGGUG